UACGUAGGGGGCAAGCGUUGUCCGGAAUCAUUGGGCGUAAAGAGCGCGUAGGCGGCCCUGUAAGUCCGCUGUGAAAGUCAAGGGCUCAACCCUUGGAUGCCGGUGGAUACUGCAGGGCUAGAGUCCGGAAGAGGCGAGUGGAAUUCCCGGUGUAGCGGUGAAAUGCGCAGAUAUCGGGAGGAACACCAAUGGCGAAGGCAGCUCGCUGGGACGGUACUGACGCUGAGGCACGAAGGCCAGGGGAGCAAACGGG
rnacentral:rRNA from 1 species